GAAGAGGGAGCACGGGGACCACGCAGACGACGCCCUGCAUGCCAAUGGAGGCCUGUGUCGCCGAGAGUCACAGGGCUCUGUGUCCUCUGCGGGGAGCCUGGACCUGUCGGAGGCCUGCAGGACUUUGGCACCCGAGAAGGACAAGGCCACCAAGCACUGCUGCAUUCAUCUCCCGGAUGGGACAUCCUGCGUGGUGGCUGUCAAGGCGGGCUUCUCCAUCAAAGACAUCCUGUCCGGACUCUGUGAGCGGCAUGGCAUCAACGGGGCGGCCGCGGACCUCUUCCUGGUGGGCGGGGACAAGCCUCUGGUGCUGCACCAAGACAGUAGCAUCUUGGAGUCAAGGGACCUGCGCCUAGAAAAGCGCACCUUGUUUCGGCUGGAUCUUGUUCCGAUUAACCGGUCAGUGGGACUCAAGGCCAAGCCCACCAAGCCCGUCACGGAGGUGCUGCGGCCCGUGGUGGCCAAAUACGGCCUGGACCUCAGUGGCCUGCUGGUGAGGCUGAGUGGAGAGAAGGAGCCCCUGGACCUUGGCGCCCCUAUAUCGAGUCUGGACGGACAGCGGGUUGUCUUGGAGGAGAAGGAUCCUUCCAGAGGAAAGGUCCUGCCCUGGGGAAGCUGGGUCCGGCCAGCAGCCUUCGGAGAUGGGCUCGUCGCCCGGCCCCCACCUCAUCCUGACGCGCAGGAGCUGGCCCUCCUUAGAGCCCUUGUUGAGAACCGUGCGUGAGGAAGGUUACUCAGACCCAGGAGGCAUCCGCAGAUAAACAGAAAGGUGUGCCAGUGAAACAGAACACAGCUG
rnacentral:sRNA from 1 species